CAAGAUACGAAGAUCCAUUUGGUAUUUGAAAUCACAGGAAUAUAAGUAUAAAUAGCAACAAUUUGUUUUGUUUCGCCCAUUUUUUCGUCUCGUUUCAUGACAUGGGGACGUAAACAACAAGUGCGAUAGUGGCGACAUCUAGUAAUGAGUUUUGAAUCUUGUGUUAGUUACACAAUCACAGUAGCAUGACAUUAACAGGACGGUCCAUUAACGGGAUAUUCCAAGUCGUAACUUUCAACAAAAGUUCCUUCAAAACAAAUUAAAACGUUAAAAAACGGAGAUCGGGUAAUGAGUCUACUUUUUUAAAGUAAUAGUUUCAGGUGAAGUUUUCACGUGUACCUGGCCAACUAGGUGCUCGUGACAAUAGAAAUAAAAUUGCCUAAAAUCCAGUAAUCCAAAGUUCGCAAACUAUGUCUUCUGAAGUUAAACAAUUUCUGUUGCAAGAUUUUGUAAAUCUUCAAGACAUUGAUGCCUUUGCCAGAUCCAAUUCUUUGCUACUAUCUAUUUUGCGGCACCACAGCAAGAAAAUGCUGCCACUUAGGAUUUUGUGGUAAUCGCCACCUAGUUCUAAUUUAGGAGGACAAUGUUAAUCCCUAUCCUCUGGAAACCUACAAGAGAUUACUGGAAUUGAAGACUGAUAAUUUGUGAAGGUGUAGAUAAAACUGAUAAAUUAAAAGUGUAUAUCUGGGCUCCCUUUUUUUCUGUGGCCUGUUUCCCUAACUAACCACUAACCAGGUCAAUCACUAUCACAAUCACUGAUAACCAGGAGAAUGAGGAGGGCUCUGGUCUAACGGGGACUUGGAAGGCGGAUUAUCUGAGAAAAACUUUUGGAGGGUCAUGAGUCUAACCGGGAAUCCUGCUAUGACUAAUCGUUCCCUAGCAAAACUGGCCUCGUACUCUUCUCUCUUCUUCACCGGCCAGGUGUUGUUUAUGUUCGCGUAGUUGCUGUCCGCUGUGGUUCGUUGUUGCAGCCUAUGCUGGUGAAAGCUCUUAUUGCAUGAAGUGAAACUGGCUGUUCCUUGGACCUUGGUCCUGCUGUCAUGUUAUGGAAAUUGCAUAAUUAUUUUGUUAAAUUGUCCUUGUGUCUUAGUGUACCGCUUAUGUGUUAAGAAGGAACAAAAGCAGAUAUGGGGAUUUUUAUGUCAAACAAGUAAUAAACAUGUUUUCGGGAUUGGGAAAGGAAAGUGGAGGAUGUUGGAGGGCCGGAGGGGGGAGGACAUUUCAAGUAUUGACAAAAAAACAGUUAAUUUACAACCCAAAACAUAUCUCUACGAAUUAAUCUCCAAACCCGACAAACUUAUACCUUCCAAUUCUUCAAACCCCACAAACAUGCACCUACCAACCCUCAAAUU
rnacentral:lncRNA from 1 species